rnacentral:rRNA from 1 species
UACGAAGGGGGCGAGCGUUGUUCGGAAUCACUGGGCGUAAAGGGUGCGUAGGCGGGUCUUUAAGUCCGGGGUGAAAUCCUGGAGCUCAACUCCAGAACUGCCUUUGAUACUGAGGAUCUUGAGUUCGGGAGAGGUGAGUGGAACUGCGAGUGUAGAGGUGAAAUUCGUAGAUAUUCGCAAGAACACCAGUGGCGAAGGCGGCUCACUGGCCCGAUACUGACGCUGAGGCACGAAAGCGUGGGGAGCAAACAGG